rnacentral:rRNA from 1 species
UACGUAGGUGGCAAGCGUUGUCCGGAUUUAUUGGGUUUAAAGGGUGCGUAGGCGGCCCUGUAAGUCAGUGCUGAAAUAUCCCGGCUUAACCGGGAGGGUGGCAUUGAUACUGCAGGGCUUGAGUACAGAUGAAGUAGGCGGAAUUGACGGUGUAGCGGUGAAAAUGCAUAGAUAUCGUCAAGAACACCGAUAGCGAAGGCAGCUUACUAAGCUGUAACUGACGCUGAGGCACGAAAAGUGUGGGGGAUCAAAACAGGG